UUCUUUUCUUAGGGCUGCACCGGUGACAUAUGGAGCUUCCCAGGCCAGGGGUCUAAUCGGAGCUGUAGCUGCUGACCUACACCAAAGCUACAGCAAUGCCAAAUACAAGCUGCAUCUGUGAUCUACACCACAGCUCACGGCAAUGCCGGAUCCUUGACCCGCUGAGCAAGGCCUGGGAUGGAAGCCACAACCUCAUUGUUCCCAGUCGGAUUCCUUUCUGCUGCACCACGACGGGAACUCAUCAGGGCAUUUUUUGAGUACUGUUUAAAAAGCCUCCACAAAACUAUAUUUUUGACAUAAAAUUUAAACUUAGGCAAAUUAUUCCAUACCUCUUUAAAACAUGGCAUGUAAGUUUGGAGUUCUUUUUCUCUCAGUGUAGUGAUUCUUUUUUUCCAAUUUGGUUCAUAGAUCCUCUUGAGAAUGUAGUGAAAGUUAAGGGUCCUCUUAAGAGAAAAAUGCACCUACCCAUGGAACAGAACACAAUCUCACUGUGGUCCUAGGCUCCCUUGUCCCCUCAAGUCUCUCCAUGCAACCCCAGAUUGAAAACCCCAUAGUAAGCCAAAGAUAUAUUUAUUGCAGAAGACUCAAAUUUGAAUUUGAAAUUCAUGAAUUCCAAGUGGUUAUGGAGCUUGAUAAAUCAUCCUUUACCAUUGCUAAUAUCACAAAGGGAAAACUUUGAAUCGAUUUGAUUUCACAGGCCAUGUGUGAAUAUUGAUUUCAGUCCUGCCACAUAGCCUUCUGCAUGCUGAGUGAAGAGACUAUUCUGCCCUCAUUUCAAGGUGAGGCUCUUCUACUCCAGCAAUAAAUACUGAAAACAAGGCACAUAAGAUCCAACUGUCUCAAAUGCCAUCCCAGGCAGCUCCUUUAAGUGUCUAAAAGAUAAGAUAAAUAACAUUGAUACUUCUGCAUGUGGUUAUGUGUCCCUUCUUGCCACAGAAUUGAAACUAGAAACUACUUGAAGUUUCCAAAUCUAUGUCAAAAGCCAGAUGAUUAUGAAAGCCCACAAUGUUUGAGUCUUUAAGGGCAAAAAUCUUUAAUGUUUAGCUCCAAGUCAUAGUUUAUUUUAUGAAAGUGUAAAAUACAUUAAAAGUCUUGAACUAUUUUAAAAAAUGGAAUAUUUUUUUUCUGUUUGUAAUGUAUCAGCCUUGCAUCAGAUGUUUAUUUCAUUAACAUAUUUAUGGAACAUCUCCCUUAAACUGGUUUGUGUUCAGAUUGCCUAUGGCAGAUUAACUCAAUAUAAUGCUUAUUCUUUUAGUUACAUUUUUAGUUAUUCUUGUAUUGCAGACAUCAUUACAUAAUCCACCCAGAAUGUGCUUUAAAAUAUCUACAAAUCUAUUUAAAAAUAAGAAAAUGAUUUAAGAUGUUAUUAUGUCAGGUGGUUUGACUAAUUUUCAAUGAAGCAUAUUAUUCCUCUUCAAAGGUGUAUUGUUUUAGGGAUGUUAUAUUUCAAAACAUGUUAAAAAAUUAAUAGUUUAGUUAGAUUUUCUGUGAGAUUUUAAAGUUCUGAUUCUUGGUGUAUAAAAAUAAAAUGAGAAAACUGUCUUUCACAUUACCCUCUAUGGUAAUUACUAAGAAACAUUUCCAGGGAUGGAUGUAUAAUUUUUAAAAAGUUAUAUUGAAAAAGAAAACCCUGUAAAAACUCAAAAAUAGUUAUCAAUUUGACAUGGGUGUAGCAUUUAAAGUCCCAGAUUUUAGUAAUCCAAAGUUGUGUGUUCAAAAACAUUCCUUCAAGUAACAGAGACAAACUAUUCAAAUUUUACUUUUGAUAAGUAUCUGUUUGAGGUUUUUAAACUCAAAAAUUCAAAAUUAAAUUAUAUGGCACCAGAGGUAUAUAUACUAUUUAUUUCCAAAAAUGAAACAAAAGGAAAGUGUUUUUAAUGCUUAUCUUCUACUUCAGAAAUAUAAACUUCAAAUAUUACUACUUGAAACUUCAGAUAAUUGGUCUGCACACACUAUUUUCUUUAGACGAGACAUCUUUGCUUUGAAAAAAAAAAAAAACACAGUUCACUGAAAGCAUACCAUAUGUCAAUAAACAGCUAAAUACAUUACACAUAUAGUUUAAUUUAAUCCUCAGAACAACACCAUGUGGGAAAUGAUGUUGCCAUUUUAAAGAUGAAGAAGGUGAGGAUUAUAGAAGCUAGUACUUCCUAAGACUGGUGAAGCUGCAUCCUCUUAACUCCAAAUUCCGACCUCUUCCCCAUAUCCAUUAUAAACAACGUGGUAUUAAAUGUCUUUUCUAAUGCCACAACUUGUGAAAUGUUACAAAAAUAUUAAAAAAUUGAUAUUUUACUAUAUAAAGGCAUCCUACCACUGUGGUGACAAGUAGGGCUAUGGAGCAAGACUGUCUGGGGUUAGAUUCCUGACCAUAGACUCAGUGGUUUAAAUUCACCACUCAGGUCUUCAGUUCCUACAUCUGCAAAAUCAGCAUCAUCAACUAAUGCUAAUUUCACAGACUCAUGAUGGAAAUAAAAUGAAAUUCAUUCAACAAUAUGUGGAAAUUACUAAAAAGGGCCCUAAUAGAAAUCAUAUUUUUCUUGUCUUUUUGGGGCCUUACCCAUAGCACAUGGAGGUUCCCCAGGCUAGGGGUUCAAUCAGAGCUGUCUGCUGGCCUACACCACAGCCAUAGCAAUGCAGGAUCCAAGCCGUAUCUGAGACCUACACUACAGCUCACAGCAACACUGGAUCCUUAACCCGCUGAACGAACCCAGGGAGUGAACCCAUGUCCUCAAGGAUACUAGUCGGGUUCGUUAACCACUGAGCCAUGACGGGAACUCCCAGAAAUCAUAUUUUAUGUUUUUUCAUCUCUGCUUAAUGCACCUGAUCCUUGUUAUAGAAACUAAAUACACAGGUUGCCUUCUAUCACCCUCCAAGACAACCAACUCUAUAUAUUUUCUGGGCAUGAGCACUUAAUAUUGAAAAAUAUUCCAUUCUAUGAAAACCCAGCCAAAGUCUAACAUAGCAA
rnacentral:lncRNA from 1 species